CGGCAGCAGGAGGACAGCAGCUCUAUCCUCCGAUUUCUGGAAAUACAGAACAAACACAGGUAUCUCAGUAUCACUGAACUCUGACUGAGAGGACUGAUGAUCUUCCAAUCCAGCUCUCAGGACAGCUUGUUUACUGCUGGACUUCCCUUCAGCGGAAAGCCCCUCAACUUUAUCUCACUCCAGCGUGUUCCUAGAGCUCACCAAGAGCACUCAGCCUGUUCCUGCAGAGAACCACAGUGGAAUGUUUCAUGCCGAUGUCCUUGCCAGGAGAAGAAGGCCGGUGCUGCAGACGCUGCGGGCAAACCACCACCGUGAUCAUAUAGAAAGUGGAAGCGGAAUCAGAACGGCUCAGUCCUAAAGGGCAAAUCUUAGCGUUUGUGUGUCAUCAGCUUCUAAAGAAAGAUUUGUGGACAGUGAAAAGACGGCUCAUAAAAAAGUUCUGAGCUUACUGGCACAAGAGCUUCCCAAGAAGUAGGACAUGAAUAUGCAAAAUGAGUCCCAGAGAGAAGGCUCUCUCUGGGCAGGCGAAAGGAGGAUACGGGAGAGGAGGAGAGAGGGAGAGGCCGAGCGAGGGAAGCGGGGAAGAGGAGAAGAGGAGGAAGCAGGCUGCUGUGAGUGUUUCUCUGGCAGUGUCUUAGCUGGUUGUUGUGAGGAGUGAGAACGAAGCAAUCAGCAAGUAUACUGCCGCAGAAACUCGUCACCAUACGAGGCCCAACUACCCAACGCUACGACCCUCACACACACACACACACACACGUACAGUCCACUUCAGUGCCCUCAUUUAGUACUGAUCAUGAGGUGUAAACAAAUCCCAUGAGUUUAGAAUGAUUUUUUAAGAAAAAUUAUUCAUAAUUACUAUGAUUCAUAUGAUUUAAACUAUUUUGCUACAAUUCAGAAAUAAUUUCUUUAAACAAACUACAUGUACAACCAUAACUGUAAGUUAUUUUACAGAAUUGUAUUUGUUAAAAAUUAAAGUGCAUUCAUAUUUUAUUUAGUGUGUGCUUAAAAAAUUCAAUAUAUUUUAUUUAAUACAAAAAAAUAAUAAAAUUAAAGAUUUAGUGAAUCAUGAUCACUCAUUCAAUCAUGAAUUAAUUCUGAAAUAUAAAAAAAAAAACAUGCACAAUUAUGACUGGCAGCUUUGUUAUUUGCCAGUAAAUUUUAUUUAUUAAAAAUGAAAUGAUGCAUGCAUGCUUGAAUUUAGUCUAUUAUAUAAUAUAUUAUAAUGUGUUCCAAUACAUUUGGAACAGUAGUUUUAUUGUUGCACUGUACAUAUUUUAUGUAAUACAUUGACCAAUUAAUAAGUUAGUGAAUCACAAUCAUUUCAUCAUUUCAUUUGAUUAAGACUGUUUUGAGAAUCUGAAUUAUUUUAAAUGAUACAUUAUACACAUGUAACUGGCAGCUUUGUUCAUAGUAUAAUAUUAUUGAAAUAUGGUAUAAUUUUGACCGAACUGCCCAUUCAUUUUUAUUGAAUUUUAUUAAAAAUAAAUAAAUGCAUAUGUACUUUAUUGAACAUACUAUAUACAAUUGUAUUAUUUAAUAUAUUACUAAACACAUUGCCUACCCCUCUUUAUUUCCAUCUAGGUGUGUGCUUCAGUGUAUGUUUGUGUGUGUUAUUAAUAAAACAAUCAAUUUAAUAUUAAAAUGUUUGUUUAUAAAAUGCAAACCUUAAACACAUUCUUUCUGGGUUUUGUUUACGUUGCCAGCUUUAAACUGAAUGCCUCUCUCUCAGCUACAGUUCAUUCUCUAAGUUACAGUUACAGUAACUUAAAUCUGGGCUCCAGAGUGGCAUUAGAUGUCUAAGCGUUUGCCACAGCUACCCUUGGCAGAGACCUCCAUUGAGGACAACUGGCCUCACUCUCUCUGUAGGUGUUAGCUGAUGCAACAGAACUCACCUCCAAGCCUGUUCAGCUGUCCAAUGAUAUUGCAUGAGUAGCAGUUCUAAACAGGCACAUUUUGUAUUAAAACUGGAGAGCAAUACAGAUUUAAAACCUAACUGUAAUGUAAAUAUGUGAUUCUUCGAUAAA